rnacentral:rRNA from 1 species
CCUACGGGAGGUAGCAGUGAGGAAUAUUGGUCAAUGGGCGGAAGCCUGAACCAGCCAAGUAGCGUGCGGGAUGAAAGCCCUACGGGUCGUAAACCGCUUUUGCACGGGGAUAACACGCUCCACUUGUGGAGUUCUGCAUGUACCUUGCGAAUAAGGGCCGGCUAAUUCCGUGCCAGCAGCCGCGGUAAUACGGAAGGCCCGAGCGUUAUCCGGAUUCAUUGGGUUUAAAGGGUGCGCAGGCGGCCUCAUAAGUCAGCGGUAAAAGCCCGGGGCUCAACCCGGGCGGGCCGUUGAAACUGGGGGACUGGAGUUGGAGCAGGGUACGUGGAAUGCGCGGUGUAGCGGUGAAAUGCUUAGAUAUCGCGCAGAACCCCGAUUGCGAAGGCAUUGUACCGGAUCAAGACUGACGCUGAGGCACGAAAGUGCGGGUAUCGAACAGGAUUAGAUACCCUAGUAGUC